UGGGGAAUUUUGGACAAUGGACGCAAGUCUGAUCCAGCCAUGCCGCGUGCGGGAAGAAGGCCUUCGGGUUGUAAACCGCUUUUGUCAGGGAAGAAACGCUCUGGGUUAAUACCUCGGGGUAAUGACGGUACCUGAAGAAUAAGCACCGGCUAACUACGUGCCAGCAGCCGCGGUAAUACGUAGGGUGCAAGCGUUAAUCGGAAUUACUGGGCGUAAAGCGUGCGCAGGCGGUUAUGCAAGACAGAGGUGAAAUCCCCGGGCUCAACCUGGGAACUGCCUUUGUGACUGCAUAGCUAGAGUACGGUAGAGGGGGAUGGAAUUCCGCGUGUAGCAGUGAAAUGCGUAGAUAUGCGGAGGAACACCGAUGGCGAAGGCAAUCCCCUGGACCUGUACUGACGCUCAUGCACGAAAGCGUGGGGAGCAAACAGG
rnacentral:rRNA from 1 species